rnacentral:rRNA from 1 species
GCGGGAUUGUGCCAGCAGCCGCGGUAAUACGGAGGGUGCAAGCGUUAAUCGGAAUUACUGGGCGUAAAGCGCACGCAGGCGGUUUGUUAAGUCAGAUGUGAAAUCCCCGGGCUCAACCUGGGAACUGCAUCUGAUACUGGCAAGCUUGAGUCUCGUAGAGGGGGGUAGGAUUCCAGGUGUAGCGGUGAAAUGCGUAGAGAUCUGGAGGAAUACCGGUGGCGAAGGCGGCCCCCUGGACGAAGACUGACGCUCAGGUGCGAAAGCGUUGGGGAGCAAACAGGAUUAGAUACCCUGGUAGUCCACGCCGUAAACGAUGUCGACUGGGAGGUUGUGCCCUUGAGGCGUGGCUUCCGGAGCUAACGCGUUAAGUCGACCGCCUGGGGAGUACGGCCGCAAGGUUUAAAACUCAAAUGAAUUGACGGGGGCCCGCACAAGCGGUGGAGCAUGUGGUUUAAUUCGAUGCAACGCGAAGAACCUUACCUGGUCUUGACAUCCACGGAAGUUUUCAGAGAUGAGAAUGUGCCUUCGGGAACCGUGAGACAGGUGCUGCAUGGCUGUCGUCAGCUCGUGUUGUGAAAUGUUGGGUUAAGUCCCGCAACGAGCGCAACCCUUAUCCUUUGUUGCCAGCGGUCCGGCCGGGAACUCAAAGGAGACUGCCAGUGAUAAACUGGAGGAAGGUGGGGGAUGACGUCAAGUCAUCAUGGCCCCUUACGACCAGGGCUACACACGUGCUACAAUGGCGCAUACAAAGAGAAGCGACCUCGCGAGAGCAAGCGGACCUCAUAAAGUGCGUCGUAGUCCGGAUUGGAGUCUGCAACUCGACUCCAUGAAGUCGGAAUCGCUAGUAAUCGUGGAUCAGAAUGCCACGGUGAAUACGCUCCCGGGCCUUGUACACACCGCCCGUCACCCCAUGGGAGUGGGUUGCAAAAGAAGUAGGUAGCUUAACCUUCGGGAGGGCGCUUACC